rnacentral:lncRNA from 1 species
AGUCUAUAUCGGCUCUAAUGAGGAGACAACAGUCUAUAUAGUCCCUAAUUAGGAGACAACAGUCUAUAUAGACCCUAAUGAGGAGACAACAGUCUAUAUAGGCCCUAAUGAGGAGACAACAGUCUAUAUAGGCCCUAAUGAGGAGACAACAGUCUAUAUAGACCCUAGUGAGGAGACAACAGUCUAUAUAGGCCCUAAUGAGGAGACAACAGUCUAUAUAGACCCUAAUGAGGAGACAACAGUCUAUAUAGAUCCUAGUGAGGAGACAACAGUCUAUAUAGACUCUAAUGAGGAGACAACAGUCUAUAUAGACCCUAAUGAGGAGACAACAGUCUAUGUAGGCACUAGUGAGGAGACAACAGUCUAUAUAGACCCUAAUGAAGAGACAACAGUCUAUAUAGACCCUAAUGAGGAGACAACAGUCUAUAUAGACCCUAAUGAGGGUCUAUAUAGACUGUUGUCUCCUCAUUCGGGCCUAUAUAGAGUCUAUAUAGGGUUGUUGUCUCCUCAUUAGGGUCUAUAUAGACUGUUGUCUCCUCAUUAGGGCCUAUUUAGACUGUUG